rnacentral:snoRNA from 1 species
AUCCCAUGAUGAGGACAUUCUAGAAUGUAAUCUUGAAAACGCUCCUAGGCUUUUGAGACUGACUCAUCAUUUUAUAGCUGAAAACUUGAAAUUUUCCCAUGCAAAGCAU